rnacentral:rRNA from 1 species
UGGGGAAUAUUGCACAAUGGGCGCAAGCCUGAUGCAGCCAUGCCGCGUGUAUGAAGAAGGCCUUCGGGUUGUAAAGUACUUUCAGCGGGGAGGAAGGGAGUAAAGUUAAUACCUUUGCUCAUUGACGUUACCCGCCGAAGAAGCACCGGCUAACUCCGUGCCAGCAGCCGCGGUAAUACGGAGGGUGCAAGCGUUAAUCGGAAUUACUGGGCGUAAAGCGCACGCAGGCGGUUUGUUAAGUCAGAUGUGAAAUCCCCGGGCUCAACCUGGGAACUGCAUCUGAUACUGGCAAGCUUGAGUCUCGUAGAGGGGGGUAGAAUUCCAGGUGUAGCGGUGAAAUGCGUAGAGAUCUGGAGGAAUACCGGUGGCGAAGGCGGCCCCCUGGACGAAGACUGACGCUCAGGUGCGAAAGCGUGGGGAGCAAACA